CCUCUGACGUUCCCGAGAAAGCCCGCCUCCCGCGUUAGACGCGGGCUGGCCACCAGUGGUUUGUUGCUCGCUCCACCCUGCUUGUCCGUUGGUCCCAAUUAAUUAGCGUCGCAAGUAGUUACUUCGUUUGGGUGACGUUCCGCCUGGUGCCCAGCGCGCGAUAGUCUUCGUAUAAUUUUAAAUUACAGUGCUACAAGGAACAUGAAGUGCCCGUAUGUGGCACUGAAAAGCAGAAAUAUGUUCUGUAAUAUAUAAUUGUUAAAAAAACCCCAAAAAGCAUUAAAAUAUACACUGAAAGAUCUUGGACCCUAUCUGCCCACAACCUCAUCUAUGGUUAGUUAAAUGGUGACAGUUCUUAAAUUCUUUUUUUUUUUUUUUUUUUGACAGUUCUUAAAUUCUUACUUGACAUUCCAGAAUUAUAAAUCACCUACAACAGUGCCUGGCAUAUGGUAAACAUUUGGUAAAUAUAAAAUAGAGGCAGCAAUGGCUGUUCAGUGUCCUUCAGUUUCCUCAUCUAGUUGGGUUGUUACCAAUAAUCUGGUAUUUCAUGCAAUUAAACAAUGUGAAUAUGAAGUAUUACUGGAUUGAAUCCGUGUGAGAUGUCCUAUAGAUGAUGAAACAAAUAAGUUAACCUUUAUUGCCUGCUUAUUAUUUCCAAUCACUAUUUCCUAGAGCUGUGCUUUCAUUAUAAUCUCAGUAAUCUCUAAAAAUCCCUAUGAGCUGGAUAUUAUUCACUGAGAAGAAAACGGAGACACAGAAGGGUCAGUAAUUUACCCAGAGCUUAAAGGCUGGUCAAUGGCAGAUGCAAGAUUUGAACCUGGCAGGCUGAGUCCAGAUUCCUGCUCCAUGGCCCAGGACCUUCUGCUGUUCUGCUCCUGCAUUGGCUCUGCUCAAGGCCUCUUUGCCCUGGGGCCCCUGUAAAAGCAGUUUGUGGCUGCUGUUGCCAUUAAUUCUGUCUACUAAAAUCACAGCCUGACUGUGCUGAGCUCAAGCAGCUCAGCCCCACUCCACUCCACCAGGCCACCAGUGCCACUGCCGCCACUGCUGUUACAAAGAAAAUCACAGGCCCAAAAUGGCAUCAUUUAGGCCAAAACACCAAAUCUGGACUUGAUAUGCUACUUAAUUGCGGUGUCAACUUCCCCCAGAAAUAGAGUCAUAACCAGUCAGUCACGAAUUUUCUGAUCAGCAUCAAUGAGGCAUCUAGUCACAUGGGCCCUUUUCUAUCUCCCAAAAGAAGGUAAGGUAAUCAACCUAAUAAGACACCCUGUCCUUCCCCCUAAGGGCAGGUGACCAGGCCUGAAACAACCCUUUCUUUUCUUUUGCUAAUAACUUCUGGCCCCACCCUCCUUCCUAUAAAAACCUUCCCUUUUGUACAACUCCUUGGAGCUGCCCUCUACUUGCUAGGUGAAAUGCUGCCCAAUUCAUGAGUCGCUUAAAAGAGCCAGCUAGAUCUUCACAUUUACUUGGUUCAAUUUUGGUUUUUUAACAUGGCUAAGGCACCUGGCAGAAGUGAGGCACUCCCUGAGAGGGCAUUCUCCCACUCUGCUGCUGCCUCCAUUUCUGUGCUCGGCUGCCAAAGCUGCCACUCUGCCAACGCCACCAAGGCCACUGUCAACACUUUGUGGCUGAACCUUGAGAGUACUCUACUGGCGCGGGAAGACCGUCCUUCCCAACCGUGAGGCAGCUUCUGUUCCCUGAGUUUCAAAUCAGGCCUUUUCUGAGUUCCUGAUGUGUGACAGGUUUCUGACAAUCCUUCUAUUUAACUUCCUGCUCUCUCGUACCAGAAUGAAUCCAAUGUGAGCCGUGUAACAGAAGGUAUAGGCAUUAUGUACAGUACUCAAAAUCACCUCUUGUCUCCUCACUGGACCAAGGAUGUCUCACUGACUCUCAUUUCCCUUCACAGGACUGAUUUCCCAUGGGGAGGAUUCUCAUUACAACUCAAACGAGAUUCCUAGUAGGUCUGUCUCCAGUUCUCAGGACAUGUUUAGACAGUUGCCUGAACCGGAUUAUAGGAGAUGAAUAUGAAAAUGAAUCGAAUUUGCUACUUUCUGAGCAUUUCCUUGAGAAGAAAUAAACUUCUAACUUUUAAGACUACCAAAAGAAUAAAUUAACAUUUCAUCUAAUACAGUGAACUAGAAGACAAAGAGACUCCCCAGAAUACCUGCAUAAAUUUCUACCCACACCAGUUCAGAGAAGUAAUUUCCUGAUAAUAUAGGACUGAGUUUGUUACUACAAUCCAAGAUCCCAUACUUGAGUAUAUUUUUAUUCCGUUAGCUGAUAAACUUGUCACUUCUGUUUUCUUCUCAUAUGAAAACUGGCAGAAGUUAACAUCCUGGUAUUACCUUCCCCAUUUCACUUACUCUCUUAAUCUGUUCCUCCAUCGCUGUACCACUGUACCAAGAAAAGAAUAAUUGAAGAAAUUCCAGGAAUCUCUUCCCUUAUGCUUGUGCCACUUGAAAAAUAA